UGGAAGACAGGAGAUUGCGUCG
rnacentral:miRNA from 1 species